rnacentral:rRNA from 1 species
CUACAAAUGAAUUGACGGGGACCCGCACAAGCGGUGGAUGAUGUGGUUUAAUUCGAUGCAACGCGAAAACCUUACCCACCUUUGACAUGUACGGAAUCCUUUAGAGGUAGAGGAGUGCUCGAAAGAGAGCCGUAACACAGGUGCUGCAUGGCUGUCGUCAGCUCGUGUCGUGAGAUGUUGGGUUAAGUCCCGCAACGAGCGCAACCCUUGUCAUUAGUUGCUACAUUCAGUUGGGCACUCUAAUGAGACUGCCGGUGACAAACCGGAGGAAGGUGGGGAUGACGUCAAGUCCUCAUGGCCCUUAUAGGUGGGGCUACACACGUCAUACAAUGGAUGGUACAAAGGGUCGCCAACCCGCGAGGGGGAGCCAAUCCCAUAAAGCCAUUCGUAGUCCGGAUCGCAGUCUGCAACUCGACUGCGUGAAGUCGGAAUCGCUAGUAAUCGUGGAUCAGAAUGUCACGGUGAAUACGUUCCCGGGUCUU